AGCUGUUCUCUUCUUGUCAACCAAACUGGAAUAACUUCAGCUUUUUCAGCUUUCAUUCCUCCAUGACCACCAACUAUAACUCUUCACUGAAGAAAAACUAGAACCAUUGUAAUAUGGUGUCCUUGAUCACCAACCCUUGGAGUAGAUUCAGAAGCUCAACAAACCAGGAUGGGCAUGUUCUGCACGUGACACAUCUAGCUCAUGGACUGCCAGUUUGACAGGCCUGCUUUAGAAAGAAUCCUUCUAUCCAUCCCUCCAUUCCAGCUUAUGUGUCAAUUUAGUUAUCUGGAGCAGCUGCCUCUUAGAAGCUACAGUCCAGGCUCCUCCAGAAAAUCUAUCAUAAAUCACUGUGACACGAACUAAAAUUCCAGAGAAACGUGGCUUGAAUAGCAGGCAGAAGCUGUUAUUUCUAAGGAUAUCUUAAGCAGAAUGGAGAAAAAAAUUUGCUGAAUAAAUAAAGUUCAU